rnacentral:rRNA from 1 species
CUACGGGCUGCUGCAGUGGGGAAUAUUGGGCAAUGGGCGCAAGCCUGACCCAGCAACGCCGCGUGAGGGAAGAAGGUUUUCGGAUUGUAAACCUCUGUCCUUGGGGACGAAGAAGUGACGGUACCCAAGGAGGAAGCUCCGGCUAACUACGUGCCAGCAGCCGCGGGAAUACGUAGGGAGCAAGCGUUGUCCGGAAUUACUGGGCGUAAAGGGUGCGUAGGCGGCAUAUUAAGUCAGGUGUGAAAUACUCGGGCUCAACCCGGGGGCUGCAUUUGAAACUGAUAUGCUUGAGUGUGAGAGAGGAAAGUGGAAUUCCUAGUGUAGCGGUGGAAUGCGUAGAUAUUAGGAGGAACACCAGUGGCGAAGGCGACUUUCUGGCUCAUAACUGACGCUGAGGCACGAAAGCGUGGGGAGCAAACAGGAUUAGAUACCCCAGUAGUC